rnacentral:tRNA from 1 species
UGGGUUGUGGCUCAGCGGUAGAGUGCUUACCUAGCAUGCGUGAGGCCCUGGGUUCGAUUCUCAGCAACACAU